GAUGAACGCUGGCGGCGUGCCUAAUACAUGCAAGUCGAGCGAACAGACGAGGAGCUUGCUCCUCUGACGUUAGCGGCGGACGGGUGAGUAACACGUGGAUAACCUACCUAUAAGACUGGGAUAACUUCGGGAAACCGGCGCUAAUACCGGAUAAUAUAUUGAACCGCAUGGUUCAAUAGUGAAAGACGGUUUUGCUGUCACUUAUAGAUGGAUCCGCGCCGCAUUAGCUAGUUGGUAAGGUAACGGCUUACCAAGGCAACGAUGCGUAGCCGACGUGAGAGGGUGAUCGGCCACACUGGAACUGGGACACGGUCCAGACUCCUACGGGAGGCAGCAGUAGGGAAUCUUCCGCAAUGGGCGAAAGCUUGACGGAGCAACGCCGCGUGAGUGAUGAAGGUCUUCGGAUCGUAAAGCUCUGUUAUUAGGGAAGAACAAAUGUGUAAGUAACUAUGCACGUCUUGACGGUACCUAAUCAGAAAGCCACGGCUAACUACGUG
rnacentral:rRNA from 1 species